UCCGGGCGCACCCCUUGAAAUUGUACUUUUUUCUCUAUGGUCUGUUCGAGUUCUUCUAUAAAUUCUAAAAGGUGAUUCAACCUAGCCUCCACCUUCAGCAGCAUUUUGAUCUUUGAUCCCUUGAAAGGCGUGCAAGUCCUCGUCCUCUCCGCCUUUGGUGAAACUCCAUCUCCAAUCCUGUGGCUUCAUUUUGAAUGAAGAUCAACCAUCUUUGUUCAUCGAUUAACCGACCUUAACUUCCUCCGACCCUCAUUUUUAGUUGCAUUUUGACGAACUCCAUUUCAUUCAUUUCGUUUGUGAGUUCAAGCAUUGGAUCUAUGACCUUUUCUCUAACUAUUUCUCCUAAAACCUUGAUGGGUGUGCCUUAAGUUCUUUUUUGGUCCAUCGAAUGCCCUAGUUUCUUAGUACUAAACAGUCUGGUUAUUUGGAUGGUUGUUAUUCUUUUGCAGUGGUUCCCCCAAAAUGGGAAAUUUUAUUUGUCCUUGUGUUGAACGUUCAUGUUUUGUUUUUAUUGAUUGAGAUUUGCUUGUAUUUAUACGUCUUAUGCUGUUGAUUAGGCUCUGAUGAAUCAGUUUGGGAUUUUGCGAAUGAUAUUUGUUCUGGGUUUUGAGUGCUUCCUCACUAUUAUGAGAGGAAUGCUGCUUAGGAAGCUAUAUCUGAUACUUCUAAACUUGUUUGUGUUUCUAGUCAUUUGUUAAUGUAUAUGAUUAUAGUCUUUUGCUUUCUAGGGAUAUAUGCAUCUGAAGUAGUGUUUGUUUGAUUUUUCGUUAUAAGUUAUGAAGACAUAUACAUGUUGAUAGCUUAUCCUUCAUUUUUUUAAAAUUGUUUUUCUUAUGUUGUUUGAAUCUGUUUCUAAUUUCAAGAUGGUGUUUUUUGGAUGAAUUGCUUGAUGUUGAAUUAGAAGUUUUAUUGUUAGAUUAUUGCUAGUUGCCCUAAAUUCUGUGGAUUAAUUUGUUUCUGAAGUUUUAAAUUUUUUUUACUUGUAAAUAGGAUUAUCUUCUUAUGAAUAAUAUACUUUUUAAUUGAUUCUCAUUUGUAACAACUGUGACCUGGAUGUAUUGCUUGCUUUAGUAUCUCGAUUGUUGGUAAACCCAGCUUGAUAGAAAAUUGAGCCUGCCCACUGCCCGAAGAUGGAAAAACACAUUCUAAAGAUGUUAAGUUGACUCUUAUCACAAGCCUUUGCACUCAACUACUACUCUCUCUCUCUCUCUCUCUCUCUCUCUCUCUCUCUCUCUCUUCAACAUAAAAGAAUGAGUCUUUCUCAUUAUCGUUUGGUUUUUCUUUUGGUAAAUUAUACUAGUGGUUGCUGCUGUGUAGAGGUAGUGAUGAAAACCAAUUUCGGCUGAUGGCAUUUUGUACAUAUCCUUUUCUUCUUAAGGUGCAACGAGUUGUUUUCACUGACCUUUUCUCUCUUUCCACAAUUUAUUAAUUUGAGUUGUUUAUCAGGAUGGCUGCUAGAUGAUGAAAAAUCUUGGAACAUUGUGUCUUGAAGUUCAAGGAAUUUGAGGAAUGGUUUAUUUUUUUAGACUUUCAUUUUGAUACAAACUUUUAAAUUUUAAUCCAUUCUAGUGUGCAUACAUUAUAUAAUACUCUCUUUUGGCAUUUGACAAAAUCUCACAGGCAUAGAGAAAUGGUACUAGAUCCUGGACUUUAAAGCUCUCUAUAAAAUCCUUCAUAUGCUUUUGUGCCCUGAUUCUUCUUCCUUUGCUGUCUUCUUCCUCUUUUAGCUAUAAAUUCUUAGGUUUUUCUUGUCUUGAUUGAUUUUAGCAACUUUAGUUUCGCCCAAUGAUGGAAAAUCUAUAUAAAUUGAACGGUUGCAGGUGGCUUUGUUCGUCAUUAGCCUUUUCUUAUCUCCACCUCUACCAUCAUCUCCUCUUUCAUUCAAUUCAUACAUCUAAUCGCACACACAUCACUAUCUGUAAAGGCUUUUGAUGAAUGAACACCAUUUGCUUUGUACCGUGUAUGAUUCUAUCAAAGCUAUGAGAUCUGAGGGCUUUGCUUCUAUACUGUUUUGUGCUAGGUUUUGUUCUUUGGUUUGUUCAGGACUUGUUUCUUGGAUUUAGGGCAGUUUCUCAGUGCAGUUGUUAUGAAAAUGCAGCAAGGAAGCAGAUAAUUCCUCCUUUUUUUUCCUUUUCUUUUUUAAUGAGUUGUUUUUAAGGAUGGCUGUGAGAUAAUGAAAAAUCUUGGAACAUUAUAUUUUCAAGUUCAAGAAACUUGUGAAAUAGUUUAAUUUGUUAGACUAUCUCAUUUUGAUACAAACUUUCAAAUUUAAUCUAAUUAGAUAAAUAUUCAAAUCUCUGAACACUUGUCAAAUUAGAAUCUUGAAGAAAUGACCUAUUCAUCUAAUUGUUUGUUUACACAUUACCUUGGUUGCAUCACUAUUUUAAGCUUGGAAGCAUCGAGUGAGACUCAAGUGUGACUUGUAACUAUGAAUUUCCUCUUUAUUUGGUAGCUGCGGUGCUUCGCUUCUCAAUAGAUUUCAACACAUGGGGAAAUCCAUUCCAAAUCCUGGACUUCAGAUCUCUCUAUAAAAUCCUCGUUGUUUGCUUAGUGCUUCCUGGUGAUGGUAAAGCUUCAUAAUGUCUGUCAUCUGCCGAAAAGGAACGUUUGAAUUGUAUAGUGCCCAUUUGAUAACAGGCCUGUAUGUGUUAAUGUCCAUUCUACGUUCUCUACCCUUUGGAGGCCUUGCUUGGUCUAUUGCUCUUAUCUCUGCUCGAACCCUUGAUGCUUAAUUGUGGCCGAGUUUCUUUGAGAAUAUUUUUUAUAAUUUUAACACUAAAAACAAAGAACUAAAUUCAUGUUUGAUGAUUAUAUAAUCUUUAAUUUUACACUUUUAAAAGCUAUUUUUUAUACCAUAA